UAUUGCACAAUGGGGGGAACCCUGAUGCAGCGACGCCGCGUGAGUGAAGAAGUAUUUCGGUAUGUAAAGCUCUAUCAGCAGGGAAGAAAAUGACGGUACCUGAAUAAGAAGCCACGGCUAAUUACGUGCCAGCAGCCGCGGUAAUACGUAGGGGGCAAGCGUUAUCCGGAUUUACUGGGUGUAAAGGGAGCGUAGACGGUUAUGCAAGUCUGGAGUGAAAGCCCGGGGCUCAACCCCGGGACUGCUUUGGAAACUGUAAAACUGGAGUGCAGGAGAGGCAGGCGGAAUUCCUAGUGUAGCGGUGAAAUGCGUAGAUAUUAGGAGGAACACCAGUGGCGAAGGCGGAUGACUGGACGACAACUGACGGUGAGGCGCGAAAGCGUGGGGAGCAAAC
rnacentral:rRNA from 1 species